rnacentral:rRNA from 1 species
GACGAACGCUGGCGGCGUGCUUAACACAUGCAAGUCGAACGGAAAGGCCCUGCUUUUGUGGGGUGCUCGAGUGGCGAACGGGUGAGUAACACGUGAGUAACCUGCCCUUGACUUUGGGAUAACUUCAGGAAACUGGGGCUAAUACCGGAUAGGAGCUCCUGCUGCAGGGUGGGGGUUGGAAAGUUUCGGCGGUUGGGAAUGGACUCGCGGCUUAUCAGCUUGUUGGUGGGGUAGUGGCUUACCAAGGCUUGGACGGGUAGCAGGCCUGAGAGGGUGACCGGCCACAUUGCGACUGAGAUACGGCCCAGACCCGUACGGGAGGCAGCAGUGGGGAAUAUUGCACAAUGGGCGGAAGGCUGAUGCAGCAACGCCGCGUGCGGGAUGACGGCCUUCGGGUUGUAAACCGCUUUCGCCUGUGACGAAGCGUGAGUGACGGUAAUGGGUAAAGAAGCACCGGCUAACUACGUG